GGCCUUGAGCUCUCUGAAGCUGUAAACAAGGAGAGAGAGAGAGAGAGAGAGAGAGAGAGAGAGAGAGAGAGCAAAAGAGAGAAAGCAAAAGAGACAGGGGAAAGAGGCCUGACUCGCCCCUCCAGAUUGUGGGAGAGAAGAGAUUUUUCUUGCCUUGCAAUCUCGCUUGGAACCGUGCGGAUUUCCAUAAAGAAAAGAGUGAUCUCUAUCCAGAUUCCUGCAAUGUCUACUUCAUUCUCUCCAGGCCUUCCCCCUUGGCCACCAGAAGACUGACCCAAGAGACUUCUGAGCUGCUGUUGGGAACUGACACUGCUUUCCACCUACUUGGGCUUAGCUUCCCCCCAAAACCCAGUGACCAGACCAUCUACUCCCAUUUGGGGAAGAUAACAGUACCCCUGCACCUUAACUGCCCUGUUCUAUGUGACCUGGCUUUCUUCAGGAAUAACUUACAAAGAAGAAAGAACAGCUUGGAGCUGUGUUUACAUCUAGUUCUACCGAUCCAUUCACAUCUGGAGGCUUUAUUUAUAACUCCCUCUAUAACUCUCUCUGUUUGUGGGCACUGGUGGCUCUAUUGACAGGCUGAUGUCUACAAAAUAUUGCUCUAUCUCUAACUGUACCUAAAUGUGCUGCGGUUGUAUUUGCAGAUUUAUGCCUGAGGAAGAUAUAAUUAUUUCCAUUGUAUUUGUGCAUAUACAGUAGUUAUAGGAACAGAUUUAUAUAUGGUAAAAAAUAUACGACUCCCUUAUAGCCAUCCAGCUUUAUGGACAUUUGAUAUCCUGACAGAUUUAUAUCUCUCAGCAGCUAUAUAGA